rnacentral:lncRNA from 1 species
UAAGUAGUUUCCUUAGCUACGAAUUAAGAAAAUUUAGCUGAUUAAAGUAGCUCAUAUUAAUCUUACGUUAUAAAAGAGGAAUAUGUCAGGUUAAAUGGGGAAAGAAAGAGAAUGAAAUAGGGUUCUCAGUGGCCCUCACCAUGGCUGUCUACUUCUCCAUGACAGAUAAACAGGAGGAACAACUGGGCACCCCAUCUUUGAAGGGGUGCCCCCCCUUCCUGCUUACUGCGUACCUUCUAAUCCACUUUUCUCUGACAAGUUAAUCUCAGCCCUUCAAAUAUGAAAACGCCGAUGCUUUGAUGAUCCUAUAUGCAGACCUCAGAAAGAGUUACUCUUUCAUCCACACCCACGAAGUGUUUCUUUUGAACCCCAAACAGAAGCCCCUUUCAAGGACCCAACACCAGGAAGUAGAACGUGGCCAAAUGCAAAGGUCUUCCCUCAACUGGUAAAACCAAAGCUGAAGAUGCUCCCUGCUCCUGACUCUUCUAUCAGAACCCACCUGUUCCGUGUCUCCUUCCCCAGAAUUCCUGUUGUCUUUUAAUCUGAUGAACUAUUCCACGGUAGGGAAUUAAUCCUGUCCUUUCCCAGACAUCAUUGGAAUUUUAGCAGAAGAAACAUUGAGAGACAUUUAAAUUUUGGAGUCCAUAUUGAGGACUGUUUUGUUGGGCACUAUGCUCUACCUAGAUCACCAGACAUGGUCAAUUCCCAGACUCAGGGAGCUUAUCUUCCAUUAAAUUAAGUCAAUGUGGUAAGUGCUAUAGUAAAGUUACAUUAAAAAAAAGUCCCAGAAGCCCUCACCUUUAUGUUCAAUUAAUUUUUAAGAACGGUGCCAAGAUAAUUCCGUGGGGCAAAGAGAGUCUUUUCAAGAAAUAGUACUGGGACCACUGGGUAUUCACACGUAAAAGAAUGAAGCUGGACCUUCAUCUCACACCAUAAACAGAAAUUAACGGAAAAUGGAUCAAAGAUCUAAAUGUAAGAGCAAACUAUAAAACUCAGAAGACAGCGUAGGAAUAAAUCUUCCUUACCUGGGUUAAGCA